rnacentral:ncRNA from 1 species
CAAAUCGCAAUGAAAGAACAGCAGUAGUGAAAUGGUUCCCUGUUAUUAGAGAGCUGAUGGUGGUGCAAAUCAGUACACAGCCUUUCACGAAUUACAAUUCUUGAGCAAGCUUUUGUAAAAAAAGCCGGAAAAAUUUCCGUUAACAAAAUGAAGGUGGCAAAGGUUGUUUAUUUGCUGUCAGGGUGGUACCGCGAUAAUUAUUCGUCCCUGCU